GGGAGUAUGCUCAGUGGUAGAGCACAUGCUUGCUGUGCACAAGGUCCUGGGUUCAAUCCCCAGUGCCUCUG
rnacentral:tRNA from 1 species